GUCUAACUAGACCAGAACUAACUAGACCAGAACUAGAAAGACCAGAACUAACUAGACCAGGUCUAACUAGACCAGAACUAACUAGACCAGAACUAGAAAGACCAGGUCUAACUAGACCAAGUCUAACUAGACCAGAACUAACUAGACCAGAACUAGAAAGACCAGAACUAACUAAACCAGGUCUAACUAGACCAGAACUAGAAAGACCAGGUCUAACUAGACCAGGUCUAACUAGACCUCACACUUCACAGAUGUUCAUGUAAACCAGUAACGGUCGUCUGUAUGUACAUUAAUAUCUAAAAACAGUACAAACA